rnacentral:lncRNA from 1 species
UGUUUUUCUAAAUUUUGUAUAUUGUUAUCAAGAAAUGAGAAGAUUGAUAGUGUUAUUAGUGUUCUUUUUUGCUAAAUUUUGUAUAUUGUUAUCAAGAAAUGAGAAGAUUGAUAGUGUAUUUAGUGUUCUUGUUUUGCUAAAUUUUGUAUAUUGUUAUCAAGAAAUGAGAAGAUUGAUAGUGUUAUUAGUGUUCUUGUUUUGCUAAAUUUUGUAUAUUGUUAUCAAGAAAUGAGAAGAUUGAUAGUGUUAUUAGUGUUCUUGUUUUGCUAAAUUUUAUAUUGAUACAAGAAAUGAGAAGAUUGAUAGUGUUAUUAGUGUUCUUGUUGCUAAAUUUUGUAUAUUGUUCAAGAAAUGAGAAGAUUGAUAGUGUUAUUAGUGUUUUGUUUUGCUAAAUUUUGUAUAUGUUAUCAAGAAAUGAGAUAUGAGUGUAUUAGUGUUCUUGUUUUGCUAAAUUUGUAUAUUGUUAUCAGAAAAUGAGAAGUUGAUAGUGUUAUUAGUGUUCUGUUUUGCUUAUUUUGUAUAUUGUUAUCAAGAAAUGAGAAGAUUGAUAGUGUUUAUUAGUGUUUCUUGUUAUCAAGAAACGUUUGACCGCUGACCCUUUAGCAAAAUCUCUCAAAAAUGAAAGGCAUUGCCAUGGGGAAUUCUCCAUGGCUUCUAUUCAGUAAAAUAAGGAUAUGGAAGAUUGUUAUUAGUGUUCUUGUUUUGCAAAAUUUUGUAUAUUGUUAUCAAGAAAUGAGAAGAUUGAUAGUGUUAUUAGUGUUCUUGUUUUGCUAAAUUUUGUAUAUUGUUAUCAAGAAAUGAGAAGAUUGAGAGUGGUAUUAGUGUUCUUGUUUUGCUAAAUUUUGUAUAUUGUUAUCAAGAAAUUAGAAGUUUGAUAGUGUUAUUAGUGUUCUUGUUUUGCUAAAUUUUGUAUAAUUUUAUCAAGAAAUGAGAAGAUUGAUAGUGUUAUUAGUGUUCUUGUUUUGCUAAAUUCUAUAUAUUGUUAUCAAGAAAUGAGAAGAUUGAUAGGGUUAUUAGUAUUCAUGUUUUGCUAAAUAUUGUAUAUUGUUAUCAAGAAAUGAGUAGAUUGAUAGUGUUAUUAGUGUUCUUGUUUUGCUAAAUUUUGUAUAUUGUUAUCAAGAAAUUAGAAGAUUGAUAGUGUUAUUAGUGUUCUUGUUUUGCUAAAUUUUGUAUAUUGUUAUCAAGAAAUGUGAGAAGAUUGAUAGUGUUAUUAGUGUUUCUUGUUUUUGCUAAAUUUUGUAUAUUUUAUCAAGAAAUGAGAAGAUUGAUAGUGUUAUUAGUGUUCUUGUUUUGCUAAAUUUGUAUAUUGUUUCAAGAAAUGAGAAGAUUGAUAGUGUUUAUUAGUGUUCUGUUUGCUAAAUUUUGUAUAUGUUAUCAAGAAAUGAGAAGAUUGAUAGUGUUAUUAGUGUUCUUGUUUUGCUAAAUUUUGUAUAUUGUUAUCAAGAAUGAGAAGAUGUGUGUGUUUUAUUAGUUCUUGUUUUGCUAAUUUUGUAUUGUUCAAGAAAUGGAGAAGAUGAUAGGUGUUUAUUGUGCUUCUUUUGCUAAAUUGUAUAUUGUUUCAAAAAAUGAGAAGAUGAUAGUGUUUUAUGUGUUCUUUUUUUGCUAAAUUUUGUAUAUUGUUAUCAAGAAAUGAGAAGAUUGAUAGUGUAUUAGUGUUCUUGUUUUGCUAAAUUUGUAUAUUGUUAUCAAGAAAUGGAGAAGAUUGAUAGUGUUAUUGUAGUGUUCUUGUUUUGCUAAAUUUUGUAUAUUGUUAUAAGAAAUGAGAGAGUUGAUAGUGUUAUUAGUGUUCUUUGGUUUGCUAAAUUUUGUAUAUUUGUUAUCAAGAAAUGAGAAGUAUGAGAUAGUGUUAGUUAGUGUUCUUGUUUUGCUGAAUUUUUGUAUAUUGUUAUCAAGAAAUGAGAAGAUUGAUAGUGUUAUUAGUGGUUUUCGUUUUGCUAAAUUUUGUAUAUUGUUUCAAGAAUGAGAAGAUUGAUAUGUUAUUAGUGUUCUUGUUUGCUAAAUUUGUAUAUUGUUAUCAAGAAUGAGAAGAUUGAAUAGUGUUAUUAGUGUUCUUGUUUUGCUAAAUUUUGUAUAUUGUUUAUCAAGAAAUGAGAAGUGAUAGUGUUUAUUAGUGUUCUUGUUUUGCUAAAUUUUGUAUAUUUUAUCAAGAAUGAGAAGAUUGAUAGUGUUAUUAGUGUUCUUGUUUUGCUAAAUUUUGUAUAUUGUUAUCAAGAAUAGAAGAUUGAUAGUGUUAUUAGUGUUCUUGUUUUGCUAAAUUUUGUAUAUUGUGUCAAAGAAAUGAGAAGAUUGAUAGUGUUAUUAGUGUUCUUUGUUUGCUAAAAUUUGUAUAUUGUUAUCAAGAAAUGAGAAGAUUGAUAGUGUUAUUAGUGUUCUUGUUUUGCUAAAUUUGUAUAUUGUUUAUCAAGAAAUGAGAAGAUUGAUAGUGUUAUUAGUGUUCUUGUUUUGCUAAAUUUUGUAUAUUGUUAUCUAAGAAAUGAAGAAGAUUGAUAGUGUUAUUAGUGUUCUUGUUUUGCUAAAUUUUGUAUAUUGUUAUCAAGAAUAAUGAAGUACGAUAGUGUUAUUAGUGUUCUUGUUUUGCUAAAUUUUGUAUUAUUGUUAUCAAGAAAUGAGAGAUUGAUAGCUGUAUUAGUGUUCUUGUUUUGCUAAAUUUUGUAUAUUGUUAUCAAGAAAUGAGAAGAUUGAUAGUGUUAUUAGUGUUCUUGUUUUUUUGCUAAAUUCUAUAUAUUGUUAUCAAGAAAUGAGAAGAUUGAUAGGGUUAUUAGUAUUCAUGUUUUGCUAAAUUUUGUAUAUUGUUAUCAAGAAAUGAGAAGAUUGAUAGGGUUAUUAUUGUUCUCGUUUUGCUAAAUUUUGUAUAUUCUUAUCAAGAAAUAAGAAGAUUGAUAGUGUUGUUAGUGUUCUUGUUUUGCUAAAUUUUGUAUAUUGUUAUCAAGAAAUGAGAAGCUUGAUAGUGUUAUUAGUCGUCUUGUUUUUCUAAAUUUUGUAUAUUAUUAUCAAGAAAUGAGAAGGUUGAUAGUGUUAUUAGUGUUCUUGUUUUGCUAAAUAUUGUAUAUUGUUAUCAAGAAAUGAGAAGAUUGAUAGUCUUAUUAGUGUUCUUGUUUUGCUAAAUUAUGUAUACUGUUAUCAAGAAAUGAGAAGAUUGAUAUUGUUAUUAGUGUUCUUGUUUUGCUAAAUUUUGUAUAUUGUUAUCAAGAAAUGAGAAGAUUGAUAGUGUUAUUAGUGUUCUUGUUUUGCUAAAUUUUGUAUAUUGUUAUCAAGAAAUGAGAAGAUUGAUAGUGUUAUUUGUGUUCUUGUUUUGCUAAAUUUUGUAUAUUGUUAUCAAGAAAUGAGAAGAUUAAUAGUGUUAUUAGUGUUCUUGUUUUGCUAAAUUUUAUAUAUUGUUAUCAAGAAAUAGGAAGGUUGAUAGUGUUAAUAGUUUUCUUGUUUUGCUUAAUUUUGUAUAUUGUUGUCAAGAAAUGAGAAGAUGAUAGUGUUAUUAGUGUUCUUGUUAUCAAGAAACGUUUGAAGCUGACCCUUUAGCAAAAUCUCUCAAAAAUGAAAGGCAUUGCCAUGGGGAAUUCUCGAUGGCUUCUAUUCAGUCAAAUAAGGAUAUGGAAGAUCACAACCAAGUCGAUGUAAGUCAUGACGUGAGUUAUUUCUUUGCUUCUUUUUUCUUAGCAUACUACUCUGUAUAUUAUUAUCAAGAAAUGAGAAGAUUGAUAGUGUUAUUAGUGUUCUUGUUUUGCUAAAUUUUGUAUAUUGUUAUCAAGAAAUGAGAAGAUUGAUAUUGUUAUUAGUGUUCUUGUUUUGCUAUAUUUUGUAUAUUGUUAUAAAGAAAUGAGAAGAUUGAUAGUGUUAUUAGUGUUCUUGUUUUGCUAAAUUUUGUAUAUUGUUAUCAAGAAAUGAGAAGAUUGGUAGUGUUAUUAGUGUUCUUGUUUUGCUAAAUUNNNNNNNNNNNNNNNNNNNUGCAAGAGGAAAUUUCUUUCUCUUGAAAAAUGCAAGGCUUGCCAUGUACUGUGCGAAUCCCAUAGAGCUUCCUCCUAGUUUUCAGUCCAGAAACUCUUAAGUUGGGAUAUGGAAGAUCACAACCAAGUCGAUGUAACUCAUACGCACUGUCGUUGAUUAUGAUGGAUUCAAAGGCCACACCACUGCUUUCUAAUCCGUACGUCAACAUCUUUGAGGACGUCUAUUACGUGAGUUAUUCUUUGCUUCCCCUUUUUCUUAGCAUACUUAUCUAUAUAUUUUUUAUCAAAGGAUAAUAGUAAGAUUGAUAGUGUUAUAGUGUCGAUUGUUUUGCCUAAUUGUUGCGUAUAUGUAUCCAUACUCCAAAGAGAAGAUUGUAAUAUUAGUUAGUGUUCGUGUCUUUUGCUAAAAUUUUAUUUAUCAAGAAACGAGAGAGGAUUGAUAGUGCUGAUUUUAGUAGUUUCUUGUUUACGUAAAAUUGUAGACUUAUUUCAAGAAAUGAGAAAGAUUGAUAAAUGUUAUUAGUUUUGCUUGUUUUGCUUAAAUUUGCUGAUGUUAUCAAGAAAUAUAGAUGAUAGUGUUAUUAGUGUGCUUGUUUUUCUAAAUUUGUAUAUUUAUUCAAGAAAUGAGAAGGUUGAUAAGUAUUUAAGUUUCUUGUGUUGCUAAAUUUUUAUAUUGUUUUUAGCAAAGGAAAUUGAGAAGGUUGAUAGUGUUAUUAGUAUUCUUGUUUUGCUACAAUUUUGUUAUUGUUACUCAAGAAAUGAGAAGAUGAUAGUGUUAUUUAGUGAUUCUUGGGGUUUACAAAGGAAACGUUGACGUCUGACCUAUGCUCUCAUUAAAAUUCUCUGGGAAAAAUGAACAGCAUUGCCUAGAGAAGUUUCCAUGCUGCUCUUCAGUCAAAUAAGGGAUAUGGAAGAUUCACAACCAAGCGAGUAUAGCCAUGAGCGCUACUAAUUUCGUUGGAAAUUAUGAUGGCUUCAGAACGCCACACGCUGUCUUCCUUUUUAUCCGUGACGCACAUCUUUAGGACCUUCUAUUCGGGGAGUUAGUGUCUUUGCUUUCUUUUUUCUUAGGCUAUACUUUAUCUGUAGGUAUUGUUCAUUCCAAUAUUAAGCUAGAUUUUGAGAUAGUGUGGUUUAGUGUUCUUGUUUUGCUAAAUUAUAUAUUGUUAUCAAGUAAAUGAGAGAGUGGAUAAGUGUUAUUGGUGGUUUCUUGUUUUGCUAAAUGUGUGGUAUAUUGUAUCAAGAAAUGUAGAAGAUUUGAAGUGUUAUUUGUGUUCUUGUUGUGACUAAAUCUACUAAACAAUUUGUCUUAUUGUUAUCAAGAAGAUGAGAAGAUUGAUAGUGUUAUUAAUGUUGUGAGUUGCUAAAUUUGGCUUUUGUUACUCAAGAAAUCGAGAAAGAUUGAUAGUCGUUAUUAGUGUUCUUGUUGCUAAAUUUUGUAUAUUUUACCCAAAGAAAUGAUGAAGAUUGAUAGUUGUUAUUAGUGGUUCUUGUUUUGCUAAAUUGGUAUAUUGUUAUCAGAAAUCGAAGAAGGAUUUAUAGUGUUAUUAGUGUUCUUGUUUUGCGUUAAAUUGUAUAUUAUUAUCAAGAAAUGAGAAGGUUGAUAGUCGGGUAGUUAGUGUCUCUCUCGUUUUGCUAAAUUUUGUUAUGUUAUCAAGGAAAUGAGAAGAUUGAUAGUGUUAUUAGUGUUCUUUUAUUAUUUCAAGAAACGUUUCGAAGCUGACCCUUGAUAGCGAAAUCUCUCAAAAGAAAGCAUGCACAUAAAGGACGAAAUUCUCCAAUUGGCUUUGCUAGUCAUCAAAAAGGAAUGGAAGACACAACCAAAGUGGCUAUGUAAGUCAUGACGCACUGUUCGUUUGAAUUUAGUGUAUGGCUUCACAAGGCCACACCCCGAACGCUUCCUGAUAUUGCGGUACGGCCACAUCUUUAGGACUCUAUUACGUCGAGUUAUUUCUUUGCUUCUUUGGUUUCUUAGCAGACUAACUACUGAUCUAUUGUUAUCAAGAAAUGAGAAAAAGAUAUGAUAGUGUUAGUAGUGUCAAUGUGUUUCGCUAAAUUUUGUAUAUUGUUAUCAGAAAUGAGAAGGAGUUUCUAGUGUUCAUCUAAGCUGUUCUUGUUUUUUCUGUAAUUAGUUAUAUUGUGUAUCAAGAAAUGAGACGAUUGAUUAGUUGAUUACCGUGUUCUUAUUAUUGCCUAAAUUUUGUAUAUUGUUUCAAGAACAUAGAAGAUUGAUAAUUUAUAGUGUUUUCUCUGUUUGCUAAUUUGUAUACGUAUAUUCAAUGAAUAGGAAGGAUUGAUAGUGUUAUUAGUGUUCUUGUUUGCUAAACUUUCGUGUAUAUUGUAUAUCCAAGCAAAUGAGAAUGAUUAUAGUUGUUAUUAGUGUUCUUGUUUUGCGCUAAAUUUGUAUAUGUUAUCAAGAAAUGAGAAGAUUGAUAUGUGUUAUUAUGUUGUUCUUGUUUUGCUAAAUUACUGUAUAUUGUAUCAAAAAAUGAGAAGAUUUGAUAGCUAGUUAUUGUGUUCUUUCUCGUGUUUUGCUAAAUUUGUAUAUAUGUUAUCAAGAAAUAGGAAGUUGAUAGUGUUAUUAGCUGUUCUUGGUUUUUAUAAAUUAUUGUAUAUUUAUGUAAGAAAUGAGAAGAUUGAUAUGUUAUUAGUGUUCUUGUCUUUUUUGCUAAAUUUGAUAUUGUAUCAAGAAAUGGAGAACUGAUUGAUAGUGUUUAGUGUUUAGUCAUUGUUUUGCUAAUAUGUAUACUUUGUAUCAAGAAAUGAGAGAUUGAUAGUUGAUAGGUGUUCUUGUUUUAGCUAAUAUUGUAUAUUGUUAUCAAGAAAUGAGAAGCAUUGAUAGUGUUAUUAGUGUUCUUGCUUUUGCCUAAAUUGUAUAUUGUUAUCAAGAAAUGAGAAGAUGGAUGAUAGUGUUAUUAGUGUUCUAUUUUUUGCUAAAUUUUCGCUAUAUUGAUUAUCAAGAAAUGAGAAGAUUGAUAGUGAUUUAGUGUUCUUCUUUUGCUAAAUUUUGUUAUAUUGUUUAUUAUCAAAAAGUGAGAAGAGUGAUAGAUUAGUUGUCGUUCUUGUUUUGCUUAAUUGGUAUAUUGUUAUCAAGAAAUAGAGAAGAUUGAUUAGUGUUAUUAGUGGUUUCUUGUUUUGCUAAAUUUGUAUAUUGUGUAUCAAGAAAUUGAGAGAUUGAUAGUGUAUUAGUGUUCUGUUUUGCUAAAUUUGCGUAUAUUGUUAGCAAGAAGUGAGCAAGGAUUUACUAGUGUUAUUAGGUUUCUUGUUAUUGCUAAAUUUUUGUAUAAUUAUUAAUCAAGAGAAUCGAGAAGGUUGAUAGUGGAUUAGUGCUUUCUUUUUUGCCUUAAAUUUUGUAUAUGCUUAUCUUAAUGAGAAUGAGAAGAUUGAGUGUGAUAAGUGAUUUCUAUGUUUUGCUAAUAUUUCCGUAAUAUUUUUAUCAAGAAAUGUAGAAGAUUUGAUAGUUGUAUAGAUGCCUUCUGUGUGUGCUCUAAAUUUGUAUAUUGUUACAAGAGAGAGAACAAGAUUGAUAGUGUUAUGGUGGGGUAGUGUUCUUGUUUGCUAUAAUUUGGCUAUAUUGUUAUCAAGAAAUAGAAAUUUAGAGGUAUUAGUGUUCUCGUUUUUGCAAAUUUUGUAUAUUAUUAUCAGAAUGAGAAGGUUGAUAGUGUUAUUAGUGUUCGUGUUUUGCUAAAUUUUGUUAUUGUUAUCAAGAAAUGAGAGAAUUGAUAGUGUUAUUAGUGUGCUAUAUCAAGAAACGUUUGACGACUGACCCUUUAGCAAAAAUCUGCUCAAAAAGUUGAAAGGCCCAUUGAUAGGGAAUUCUCCAGUGGCAUUCUAUCACCCCAAAUCAAGGAUAUGAAGCAUCAAAGCAGAACCAAGUCUUAUGUAAGCUAUGACGCACUGUUCGUUUGAAAUUUAUUGAUGGUCUUCAAAGGCCACACAGACUGCUUCCUAUAUUCGUAGCACAUCUUUAGGACACCUCCUAUACGUGGAGUUAUUUUCUUUGUUCUUUUUUCUCCUUUAGCAUACUAAUAUGUAACGGUUAGCAAAGAAUAGAGAAAGAAUUGAUAGUGUUAUUAGUGUUCUUUCUGCCCUAAUUGUAAUGUGUUAGUCAGAAAUGAGAAGAUUGUAGUGUUAUAGUUGUUCUCUCUUGCUAAAUUGGUAUAUUUUAUCAGAAAUGAGAAGAUUUAUAGUGUAUCUCCUGCUCUUGUUGUGCUAAUUCUCGUAUAUUAUUAUCAUAGUAAAUGAGGAAGCGUUGAUAGUGUAUUAGUCGUUCUUGUUAUGGCAUAAAAUAUUUAUUCUCUUGUAUAUUGUAGUUCAAGAAAAUGAGAGAUUGAGUGGUUAAUAAUUGUUCUUGUUAUUGCUAAAUUUGGAUAUUGUUUCAAGAAAUGAGAAGAUUGAUAGUCGUUAUUAGUGUUCUUGUUUUGCUAAAUUUUGUAUAUUGUUUACCCAGAAGAGAGAGCAUGUUGAUAGUGUUAUUAGUGUGCCUUUGCUAUUGUAUAUUGGUAUCAAGAAAUGAGAAGAUUGUUAUAGUGUUAUUAGUGUUUCGUUUUUGCUAAAUUUGUAUGAUUAUUUAUCAAGAAAUGAGAGGUUAUGUAGUUUAUUAGAUGUUCUUGUUUUGCAAAUUUGUAUAUUGUAUCAAGAACAUGAGAAGGAUGGGAUAGUGUUAUUUAAGUGUUCUGAUUAUCAAGAAAACGUUUGACGCUUGACCCUUAGCAAAAUCCUCAAAAUAUGAAAGGCAUUUGGCCAGUCGGAAUCUCAUGGCUUCUAUUCAGUCAAAUAAGGAAUAUGGAAGAUUCAGCACACCUAAGUCUUGUCCAAGUCAUGAACGCACUGUGUCGUGUUGAAGUGAGGAGAUGGCUUCAGAAGCGCCACACACUGCUUCCUAUGAUUCGUACGCACAUCUGUGGACUCUAUUGGUACGUGAGUUAUUUCUUUGCUUCUUUUUUCUAGCAUACUAAUAUGUAUAUGUUUAUCAAGAAUGAGAAGAUGAUCAGUUGUUAUUAGUGUUCUUGUUUGCUAAAUUUUUGUAUAUUAGGUUAUCAAGAAAUGAGAAAGAUGAUAUGUAAAGAUGUUCUUGCUUUGCUAAGUUUUGUAUUUUUAUCAAGAAUGAAGACGAUUGAUAGUUGUGAUUAGUGUUCUUAUUUUGCCUCAACAUUUCGCUCCUCCUUGUUAACAGAAAAGGAUGAUUGAUGAGAUGUUAGAGUGUUCCUUGUUUUGCCUAAAUUUUGUAUAUCGUAUCAAUAAAUGAGGAAGAUUGAUAGUGUUUUAUUAGUGUUCUUGUUUGUGUAAAUUUUGUAUAUUGAUAUCAAAGAAAAUGGAGAAGAUGAUAGUGGUUAUUAGUUUCUUGUUUUGCCCUUAAUUUUGUAUAUUGUUAUCAAGAAAAUGAGAAGAAUUGAUAGUGUUAUUUGUGUUCUUGUUUUGCUAAAUUUUUAGUAUAUUGUUAUCAAAAAAUCAGAAGAUGAUAGUCGUUAUUAUGUUCUUGUUUGCUAAAUUUUGUAUAUUGUUAUCAAAGAAAAUAGAAGGUUGAUAUUAUUAGUUUUCUGUUUUGUUUAAUUUUGUAUAUUGUUUAUCAAGAAAUGAGAAGAUAAGAUUGAUAGUGUUAUUUGUGUUCUUGUUUUGCUAAAUUUUGUAUAUUGUUAUCAAGAAAUGAGAAGAUUAAUGGUGUUAUUAGUGUUCUUGUUUUGCUAAAUUUUAUAUAUUGUUAUCAAGAAAUAGGAAGUUUGAAAGUGUUAAUAGUUUUCUUGUUUUGCUAAAUAUUGUAUAUUGUUAUCAAGAAAUGAGAAGAUUGAUAGUGUUAUUAGUGUUCUUGUUUUGCUAAAUUAUGUAUAUUGUUAUCAAGAAAUGAGAAUAUUGAUAUUGUUAUUAGUGUUCUUGUUUUGAUAUAUUUUGUAUAUUGUUAUAAAGAAAUGAGAAGAUUGAUAGUGUUAUUAGUGUUCUUGUUUUGCUAAAUUUGGUAUAUUGUUAUCAAGAAAUGAGAAGAUUGGUAGUGUUAUUAGUGUUCUUGUUUUGCUAAAUUUUGUUUAUUGUUAUCAAAAAAUGAGAAGAUUGAUAGUGUUAUUAGUGUUCUUGUUUUGCUAAUAUUUGUAUAUUGUUGUCAAGAAAUUAGAAGAUUGAUAGUGUUAUUAGUGUUCUUGUUUUGCUAAAUUUUGUAUAUUGUUAUCAAGAAAUGAGAAGAUUGAUAGUGUUAUUAGUGUUCUUGUUUUUCUAAAUNNNNNNNNNNNNNNNNNNNNNNNNNNNNNNNNNNNNNNNNNNNNNNNNNNNNNNNNNNNNNNNNNNNNNNNNNNNNNNNNNNNNNNNNNNNNNNNNNNNNNNNNNNNNNNNNNNNNNNNNNNNNNNNNNNNNNNNNNNNNNNNNNNNNNNNNNNNNNNNNNNNNNNNNNNNNNNNNNNNNNNNNNNNNNNNNNNNNNNNNNNNNNNNNNNNNNNNNNNNNNNNNNNNNNNNNNNNNNNNNNNNNNNNNNNNNNNNNNNNNNNNNNNNNNNNNNNNNNNNNNNNNNNNNNNNNNNNNNNNNNNNNNNNNNNNNNNNNNNNNNNNNNNNNNNNNNNNNNNNNNNNNNNNNNNNNNNNNNNNNNNNNNNNNNNNNNNNNNNNNNNNNNNNNNNNNNNNNNNNNNNNNNNNNNNNNNNNNNNNNNNNNNNNNNNNNNNNNNNNNNNNNNNNNNNNNNNNNNNNNNNNNNNNNNNNNNNNNNNNNNNNNNNNNNNNNNNNNNNNNNNNNNNNNNNNNNNNNNNNNNNNNNNNNNNNNNNNNNNNNNNNNNNNNNNNNNNNNNNNNNNNNNNNNNNNNNNNNNNNNNNNNNNNNNNNNUGUUCUUGAGAUUUACCUGUAUAUUGUUAAUGAAGAAAUGAAGAAGAUUGAUUUAGUGUUAUUAGUGUCUUGUUUUGCUAAAUUUUGUAUAUUGUUAUCAAGAAUGAGAAGAUUGAUAGUGUUUAUUAGUGGUUCUUGUUUUGCUAAAUUUUGUAUAUUGUUAUCAAGAAAUGAGAAGAUUGAUAGUGUUUAUUAGUGUUCUUGUUUUGCUAAAUUUUGUAAUUUUGUUAUCAAGAAAAUGAGAAAGGUAGAUGUUAUUAAGUGUCUUGUUUUGGCUAAUUUUGUAUAUUGUUAUCUAAGAAAUGAGAAGAUUGAUAGUGUUAUUAGUGUUCUUGUUUUGCUAAAUUUGUAUAUUGUUAUCAAAGAAAUGAGAAAGAUUGAAUAGUGUUAUUAGUGUUCUUGUUUUGGCUAAUUUUGUAUAUUUGUUAUCAAGAAAUAGAAGAUUGAUAGUGUUAUUAGUGUUCUUUUUGCUAAAUUUUGUAUAUUGUUAUCAAGAAAUGAGAAGAUUGAUAGUGUUAUUAGUGUUCUUGUUUGCUAAAUUUUGUAUAUUGUUAUCAAGAAAUGAGAAAGAUUGAUAGUGUUAUUAGUGUUCUUGUUUUGCUAAAUUUUGUAUAUUGUUAUCAAGAAAUGAGAAGAUUGAUAUGUGUUAUUAGUGUUCUUGUUUUGCUAAAUUUUUGUAUAUUGUUAUCAAGAAAUAGAGAAGAUUGAUAGUGUUAUUAGUGUUCUGUUUUGCUAAAUUUUGUAUAUUGUUAUCAAGAAAUGAGAAGAUUGAUAGUGUUAUUAGUGUUCUUGUUUUGCUAAAUUUUGUAUAUUGUUAUCAAGAAAUUGAGAAAGAUUGAUAGUGUUAUUAGUGUUCUUGUUUUGCUAAUUUUUUGUAUAAAUUGUUAUCAGAGAAAUGAGAAGAUUGAAGUGUUACUAUAGUGUUCUUGUUAUCAAAACAUUAACAGCUGACAAUCCCUUUACCAAAUCUCCCAAAUGAAAGGCAUUGCGCAUGGGAAUUCUCCAUAGCUCUGUUAGUGCAGAAUAUGGGAUAAUGUGGUAUAGAUACACAAACUAGGACGGAUGUAGCCAUGACGCACUGUAUCGUUCGGGAAUUUAUGAUGGCUCUCAAAGGCCACACCGCCGCUGGCUUCCUAUAUCCCGUACGCACAUCUUAGGACGCGGGUAUUACGUGAUUUAUUUUUUUGCUCUUUAACCACUUACCUGUAUACUUGUUAUGAGAAAUGAAAGGAUUUAUAGUGUUAUUAGUGGUUCUGUAAAUUGCGCUAAAUUUGUAAUAAUGUCUAAAGAAAAUGAGAAGAAUCUGAUAGUUUAUUAGUGUUCUUGUUUGCUAAAUUUGGUAUAUGUGUCAGAAAUAAGGAAGAUUGAUAUGUUGUAGUGUUCUGUUUUGCUAAAUUGUAUAGUUAUCACAGAAAUGAGAAAGAUUGAUACUUAUUAUUUCUUUUUUGCCAAAUUGUAUAUUAUAAAAUGAGAAAUGAUGGUAUAUUAUUGUGUUGUUGUUUUGCUAAAUUUUGUACUAUCUAGUUAUCAUGAAAUUAGAGAUUAUAUAGGUCGUUGGAAUUGUAAUUUCUGUCUAUGUUAAUCUUUUGCUAAAUUGUAUAUUGUUAUCAAGAAAUGAAAAUGAUUUUAUUUUUUGUGUUCUAAUUUGGUUAUGGCUGAAAUAAGUGAUAUUAUUGUGUUGUCAAAAAUGAUAUCUGACAAUAAAUGAUAGAUUAAAUGUCUGUGUUUUGCUAAAUUUGUAUACAUGUUAUCCUAAAAAUGAGAACAUGGAUAAGUGUUACAUAGUGUUCUUACGUUUGUUGGAAAUUUGUAUAUUGUUAUCAGAAUGGAAGAAUUGAAUAGUGUUAUUAGUGUUCUUGUUUUGCCUAAUUUUUGUAUAUUUUACAAGAAAUGAGAAAUGAUAGUGUAUUAGUGUUCUUGUGGUUUGCUAAUUUGUCAUAAUGUUAAUCCAGAAAGAGAAAUCUGAUCAUGUAUAUAGUUCUUGUUUGGCUACAAAUUUGUUAUUAUUAUCAAGAAAAGAAUAGUUAUAGUUUCUUUGUUUUGCUAAAUUUGUAAUAUUUUGUCAAGAAAAUAAAAUUGAUAGUUAUUAGUGCUUGUUGCAAACUUUAUAAUUGUUAUCAAGAAUGCAAAAGAUCGGAUAGCUGUUAUAGUUUCUUGUGUUUGCUAAUAUUUGUAUAUUCUUUACAGGAAAUAGAAGAUAGAUAUGGUUAUAGUUCUUGUUUGCUAAAUUGUGCUAUAUGAUUAUCAAGAAAUGAAAAAAACUUGGAUAGUGUUAUAUAUGUUUCUGUUUUUGCUAAAUUUAAGUUAUUGUUACCAAGAAGAGAAGAUUUGAUAGUGUUAUUAGUCGUUCUGUUUUGCUAUUUGUAUGAUGGUUUGCAAGAAAUAGCAAGAUUGGAUAGUGUUAUAGUGUCUUCGUUUGCUAAAUUAGUCAUAUUGUUCAAAGAAAUGAGAAAUUGAAGUAUGUCGGUUCAAAUGUAUUUAUAAGAGAUGUUGUACCUGCUUUUGCUAAAUUGUUGUAUAAUUGUAUCAAUGAAAAAAGAUGAAAUGUUGAUUAGUGUCUCUUGUUUUGCUAAAUAUUGUAUAUUGUUAUCAAGAAAGAAGAGAUUGAUAUGUUGUUAGGUUCUUAGUUUUGCUAAUUUUGUUAUCAUGUUUAUAAAGAAAUGAGAAGAUUGAUAGUUUAUUAAGUGUUCUUGUUCGUAAAUUUGUAAUUUAUUUCAAGAAAUGAGAAAGUGAUAGUGUUAUUAGUGUUCUGUUUGCCUAAAUUUUGUAUAUUGUUAUCAAGUAAAAAUGAGAAGAUUGAUAUUAAUUAGUUUAUUGUUUGCUAAAUUUGUAUAUUGUUAUCAAGAAAUCAGAAGAUGAUUAGUGUUAUUAGUGAUCUUUGUUUCCCUAAAUUUUGUAAUAUCUUAUCAAGAAAUGAGAAAUGAAUGUUUAUAGUGUCUUGUUUGCUAAAUUUUAUAUAUUUUAUCAAGAAAUAGAAGAUGAAGUGUUAAUUAGUGUUCUUGUUUUGCUAAAUUUUGAUUAUAUUUGUCAAGAAAUGAGAAGAUUGAUAAAUGUUAUUAGUGUUCUUGUUUGCUAAAAUUUUGUAUAUUGUUAUCAAGAAAUGAGAAGAUGAUAGUGUAUAUAGUGUUUCUUUUGUUUUGCUAAAUUUUGUAUAUGUAUACAAAAAUUAGAAGAUCGAUAGUGUUAUUAGUGUUCCUUGUUUUGCUAAAUUUUGUAUAUUGUUAUCUCAAAGAAAUGAGAAGAUUGAUAGUGUUAUUAGUGUUCUUGUUUUGCUAAAUUUUGUAUAUUGUUAUCAAGAAAUGAAGAAGAUUGAUAGUGUUAUUAGUGUUCUUGUUUUGCUAAAUUUUGUAUAUUGUUAUCAAGAAAUGAGAAGAUUGAUAUGUUAUUAGUGUUUGUUUUUGCUAAAUUUGUAUAUUGUUAUCAAGAAAUAGAAGAUUGAUAGUGUUAUUAGUGUUCUUGUUUGCUAAAUUUUGUAUAUUGUUAUCAAGAAAUGAAGAGAUUGAUAGUGUUAUUAGUGUUCUUGUUUUGCUAAAAUUUUGUAUAUUGUUAUCAAGAAAUGAGAAGAUUGAUAGUGUUAUUAGUGUUCUUGUUUUGCUAAUUUUGUAUAUUGUUAUCAAAGAAAUGAGAAGAUUGAUAUGUUUUAGUGUCUUCGUUUUGCUAAAUUUUUGUAUAUUGUAUCAAAGAAAUGAGAAGAUUGAUAGUGUUAUUAGUGUUCUUGUUUGCUAAAUUUUGUAUAUUGUUAUCAAGAAAUGAGAAGAUGAUAGUGUUAUUAGUGUUUCUUGUUUUGCUAAAUUUUUGUAUAUUUUUAUCAAGAAAUGAGAGAUUGAUAGUGUUAUUAGUGUUUGUUUUGCUAAUUUGUAUAUUGUUAUCAGAAAUGAGAAGAUUGAUAGUGUUAUUUAGUGUUCUUGUUUUCCUAAAUUUUGUAUAUUUUAUCAAGAAAUGAGAAGAUUGAUAGUGUUAUUAGUGUUCUUGUUUGCUAAAUUUUAUAUUGUUAUCAAGAAAUGAGAAGAUUGAUAGUGUUAUUAGUGUUCUUGUUUUGCUAAAUUUUGUAUAUUGUUUUCAAGAAAUGAGAAGAUUGAUAGUGUUAUUAGUGUUCUUGUUUUGCUAAAUUUUGUAUUAUUGUUAUCAAGAAAAUGAGAGAUGAUAUGUAUUAGUGUUCUUGUUUUGCUAAAUUUGUAUAUUGUUAUCAAAGAAAUGAGAAGAUUGGAUAGUGUUAUUAGUGUUCUUGUUUUGCUAAAUUUUGUAUAUUGUUUCAAGAAAUGAGAAGAUUGAUAGUGUUAUUAGUGUUCUUGUUUUGCUAAAUUUUGUAUAUUGUUAUCAAAGAAAUGAGAAGAUUGAUAGUGUUAUAGUGUUCUUGUUUUGCUAAAUUUUGUAUAUUGUUAUCAAGAAAUGAGAAGAUUGAUAGUGUUAUUAGUGCUUGUUUUGCCUAAAUUUUGUAUAUUGUUAUCAAGAAAUGAGAAGAUUGAUAGUGUUAUUAGUGUUCUUGUUUUGCUAAAUUUUGUAUAUUGUUAUCAGAAAUGAGAAGAUUUGAUAGUGUUAUUAGUGUUCUUGUUUUGCUAAAUUUUAUAUUGUUAUCAAGAAAUGAGAAGAUUGAUAGUGUUAUUAGUGUUCUUGUUUUGCUAAAUUUGUAUAUUGUUAUCAAGAAAUGAGAAGAUUGAUAGUGUUAUUAGUGUUCUUGUUUUGCUAAAUUUUGUAUAUUGUUAUCAAGAAUGAGAAGAUUGAUAGUGUUAUUAGUGUUCUGUUUUGCUAAAUUUUGUAUAUUGUUAUCAAAGAAAUGAGAAGAUUGAUAGUGUUAUUAGUGUUCUUGUUUUGCUAAAAUUUAGUAUAUUGUGUAUCAAUAAGAAUGAGAAGAUUGAUAGUGUUAUGAUGUUCUUGUUUGCUAAAUUUUGUAUAUUGUUAUAGAAAUGAGAAGAUUGAUAGUGUAUUAGUGUUCUUGUUUUGCUAAAUUUUGUAUAUUGUUAUCAAGAAAUGAGAAGGUUGAUAGUGUUAUUAGUGUUCUUGUUUUUGCUAAUUUUGUAUAUUGUUAAUGCAAGAAAUGAGAAGAUUGAUAGUGUUAUUAGUGUUCUUUUGUCUUGAAUAUUUUUAUUUGUUACAAGAAAUUGAGAGAUUGAUAGUGUUUAUUUUGUGUUUCUUGUAUCAAGAAACGUUGGACGCUGACCCUUUAGCAAAUCUCUCAAAAAUGAAAGCUUUGCUAAUUUUGUAUAUUGUUAUCAAGAAAUGAGAAGAUUGAUAGUGUUUUUAGUGUUCUUGUUUUGCUAAAUUUUGUAUAUUGUUAUCAAGAAAUAAGGAGAUUGAUAAUGUUGUUAGUGUUCUUAUUUUGCUAAAUUUUGUAUAUUGUUAUCAAGAAAUGAGAAGAUUGAUAGUGUUAUUAGUGUUCUUGUGUUGCUAAAUUUGUAUAUUGUUAUCAAGAAAUGAGAAGAUUGAUAGUGUUAUUAGUGUUGUUGUUUUGCUAAAUUUUGUAUAUUGUUAUCUAGAAAAUAGAAGAUUGAUAGUGUUAUUACUGUUCUUGUUUUGCUAAUUUUGUAUAUUGUUAUCAAGAAAUGAGAAGAUUGAUAGUGUUAUUAGUGUUCUUGUUUCGCUAAAUUUUGUAUAUUGUUGACCAGAAAUGAGAAGAUUGAUAGUGUUAUUAGUGUUCUUGUUUUGCUAAAUUUUGUAUAUUGUUAUCAAAAAAUGAGAAGAUUGAUAGUGUUACUAGUGUGCUUGUUUUGCUAAAUUUUGUAUAUUGUUAUCAAGAAAUGAGAAGAUUGAUAGUGUUAUUAGUGUUCUUGUUUUACUAAAUUUUGUAUAUUGUUAUCAAGAAAUGAGAAGAUUGAUAGUGUUAUUUAUCACGAAUAUGAGACGGAUUGAUAGUGUUAUUAGUGUUCUUGUUUUGCUAAUUUUGUAUAUUGUUAUAAGAAAUGAGAAGAUUGAUAGUGUAUUAUGUGUUCUUGUUUGGCUAAUUUGUAUAUUGUUAUCAAGAAAUGAAGCGAUUGUAGUGUUAUUAGUGUUCUUGUUUUGCUAAUUUUGUAUAUUUUCAAGAAAUGAGAGAUAUGAUUGAUAUUUUAGGUUAGUGUUUGCUAAGAUUGGUCUAGAGUAUAAUGGAAUUGAUAUUAGUUCUGUUCUUGUUUGCUAAAUUUGUAUAUUGUUAUCAAGAAAUGAGAGAUUGAUAGUGUUAUUAGUGUUCUUGUUUUGCUAAAUUUUGUAUAUUGUUAUCAAGAAAUGAGAAGAUUGAUAGUGUUAUUAGUGUUUGUGUUUGCUAAAUUUUGUAUAUUGUUAUCAAAAAUGAGAAGAUUGAUAGUGUUCUUGUUUUGCUAAAUUUUGUAUAUGUUAUCAAGAAAUGAGAAGAUUGAAGUGUUAUUAGUGUUCUUGUUUUGCUAAAUUUUGUAUAUUGUUAUCAAGAAAUGAGAAGAUUGAUAGUGUUAUUAGUGUUGUUUUUGCUAAAUUUUGUAUAUUGUUAUAAGAAAUGAGAAGAUUGAUAGUUGUUAUAGUGUUCUUGUUUGCUAAAUUUUGUAUUAGUUAUCAAGAAAUGAGAAGAUUGAUAGUGUAUUAGUGUCUUGUUUUGCUAAAUUUGUAUAUUGUUAACAAAUGAGAAGAUGAUAGUGUUAUUAGUGUUCUUGUUUUUUUUUAAAUUUUGUAUAUUGUUAUCAAGAAAUGAGAAGAUUGAUAGUGUUAUUAGUGUUCUUUUUUGCUAAAUUUUGUAU